ensembl:lincRNA
AAAAAGUCUAUUUCCUGGUAUGUUAUACAUUUAAUGUGGAGGACAGUGGACCAAAGGGGAUUCAGUGUCUAUCUACAAAAGAGUUGAAGAACCGCCAGUGAGAAGAGAAAAUUGUCUCGUUCUAUGUGAUUCCAGAAGGCUAAGGACUGGGAAUGGAAAUUCCAAAACUCAAUCUACAUCUAAUUACAGGAUUGCUUUCCUGGGACAAGUUAGAGUAAUGGUCAGUGGUGACUAUUGUGUAGAACAGGAUUUGGUCACUAAGCAUUCAUUUGUUCCCCUUUUCUGUUUGGACUGAUUCCUUCAAUACCUCUCUUCUUUCCUUUCAUCAUCGUUCCGUUGCAGCUGACUCACCCCCCUGCCAACUGUGGCAUGUGAACUGAGCCUGGGAUAUCAGAGCACUGCACAGACCUACCCCCCUUCUCACAAUAAUGAAUGGAUCAGGGACGGGCACCAGCCCAAAUUAGGCCAAUUAGAGCCAAAAACAAUUCUGGGUUUCUUUGAAUCAUCGAGGUGUGGAUCUUGACCUACUGGCUCUGAAGGACAAAAACAGAGGGCUGCAGCUGCCAUUGUGCCACCACAAGGGGAGUCCACUUGAGAAGAAGAGGAGAGCUCAGAGUAAAUAUGGGAAUAAAGAUUAAACCCUGGUGACAUUGAUGGAGUCUUGAUUAUGCCAAGACUGAAAGUAUGAAGUUAGAUUAUUCAUGUUCUGAGAUAUGAUGCAAUAAAUCCCCAUUUUGCUUAAGCUAGCUUGAGUUGAGUUUUCUGCCACUUGAAAUAGAAAGAGCUUUAUCAAAAAUGGAUAGUAUGCUUGGGAUUGGUGCAUGGGGAUGACCCAGAGAGAUGUUAUGGGGAGGGAGGUAGGAGGGGGGUUCAUGUUUCGGAACGCAUGUAAGAAUUAAAGAUUUUAAAAUUUAAAAAAGAAAAUAAAGGACACCUCUGCCAUGGAAAAAAAAAAAACAUGGAUAGUAAAGCCUCCACUCACAGCAUUUACGCAGAAGAGGAUGACCAGCCUUCAGAAGAGAGCUGCCCAGGUCAGAGUCUGGUAAUAAAUCUCCUGUUGGAUGUUCAGAAGAGGCUCCAGCAUCCCUGUGAAGCUGAAGAGAGAGACGAGCCUGGGACAAAUAUCUGGGAGGCAAUCAGAGGUCCUUAUCAAGGUGGAGAGGUCGGUGUGGUGGGAAUCCUCAGAAUUGUCAGAAGCUAUUCUCUGAUUUCUCUCCGUCGCCCCUUGUCUCUCUUGGUUGAAAACUGUAUUCCAGCUUCUGAAAGAGGUGUCCGUUGUCUUUUUGGCCUGUUCAUUUUUGC